GAUGAACGCUGGCGGCGUGCCUAAUACAUGCAAGUCGAGCGAACAGACGAGGAGCUUGCUCCUCUGAUGUUAGCGGCGGACGGGUGAGUAACACGUGGAUAACCUACCUAUAAGACUGGGAUAACUUCGGGAAACCGGAGCUAAUACCGGAUAACAUGUUGAACCGCAUGGUUCAACAGUGAAAGACGGUCUUGCUGUCACUUAUAGAUGGAUCCGCGCCGCAUUAGCUAGUUGGUAAGGUAACGGCUUACCAAGGCAACGAUGCGUAGCCGACCUGAUAGGGCGAGCGGCCACAAUGGAAAAGAGACACGGUACAGACGCCUACGGGAGGAAGCAGGAGGGAAUGUUCCGCAAUGGUCGAAAGCCUGAAGGAGCAACGUAGCGGGAAUAAAGAAGGUCUUCGGAUCGUAAAACUCUGUUAUGAGGAAAGAACAAAGGUGUAAGUAAGUAUGCACGUCAUGACGGUACCUAAUCAGAAGGCCACGGCUAACUACGUG
rnacentral:rRNA from 1 species